AGACAAUGAAAAUAUUCGUAGCAUCUACGUCACAGAAAUGAAUCUACUAAUAUCAAGGAGAGGGUGGAAAGAGGGAGGGAACCAAAGGAUGAUUCAUCUCACACCAGAGUAGAUUUUAAAGCAGGUGUGAACAGCUUCCUGCUUCUCCCUCAAUCUGGAGCUACCAAGACGAUUUGUGCAGAGGAGAUGUUGGAGCCCCAUGGUCAUGGCAUACUGUUCUUCUGGGAAACCCCCUGCCUUUCUUAUUUUCUUAGUCUGCACAACCGAACCUCUAAACAAAAUUAAAGAGGAGAAAUGAUGAAGUGAAGAGACCUGUUGGAACAGAACAAAGCAAGAACAAAGCAAGAACAAAACAAGAACAUGAAGAUUGAAAAACACAGAAAAGAAGCAAAGGUAAAAGUUGAAAACAUCAAAUGGAUGUAGGAGGAAGAAAACAUCUUCAAUUUAAUACACUAUGGAAGACAGUCUG
rnacentral:lncRNA from 1 species